UUGGAAUGUGGUCACAAUUGGAAGAAGAAGAGAAGAACGAAAAAAAAAACAAAUCUGUGCUACUAUGCCUUUUUCUUAUAUUAAUAAUGCCUGCCAGCCGCCCGUUUGUUUGCCUUUGUAUGCGUUAGAGAAAUAUCGAUGGAAUCACUUUCGAGCCAUUACUUGAAGCGAUUCGUUCGUUCGUAUUAAAUGUUUACACACCAUUCAAAAAACUAUUAAAAAAAAAAACAAAAUAAAAACCUAGUUAAAAUUUUCAUUCAUUCUAUUAAGAAAACAAACAACAAUAACAAAAAACAACGCACUAAACGGUGGUGUUUCCCUAAAAAAAAAUUAAAGUGAGAUUGAAGAUACAAAUUGAUUUAAUAAAGUUGAAAGAAAUAUUUCUAAGAUAUUUUAUAUAAAAUUAUCAAAAAACAAAUUAAGCUUUGUGUGUGUUGGUGCAAUUUUGUUUCCAGCAACGAAUUAUUUUUUAAAAUAAAAACGGAAAUAAAACAAUUUCAUCACUUAAAAAAACAACAAUUUUCAAAAAAGAAGGAAAGAAAGAAAAUAAAAACAACAACUACAAAAUACAUUGUAUAUGUGUGUGUAUAUGUUAGUAUCAUACAAAAGUUUGCAUGUGUAUGUAACUUUAUUUAUCAUCUCAAUAAAAACAGAUAUAAAAAACUAAAAAAACAACAACAAACUAAUUUAAAAAUACUAUUAAAAAAAUAUAUAUAAAUAAAAAAGAACAACUUUAUAAACAAAAACAACUGCUGCUGCAUCGUCGUCAUCAACAUCAUUCUGUACAAAAACAAAAACAACAACGACUACAACUAUCUCAUUGUUGUUACGAAGAGUAGAUUUUGCAAAAAGCCACUAAUAAAAGCAACAAUAACAAAAAGUGAAAUAGAAUAAAAACAAAAACAAUUUCUCUUUAUCUUCUACUUCUAUUACAACAAACAACA